rnacentral:rRNA from 1 species
UACGUAGGGCGCAAGCGUUGUCCGGAAUUAUUGGGCGUAAAGAGCUCGUAGGCGGUUUGUCGCGUCUGUCGUGAAAGCUUGGGGCUUAACCCUAAGUCUGCGGUGGAUACGGGCAGACUAGAGGCAGGUAGGGGAGAACGGAAUUCCCGGUGUAGCGGUGAAAUGCGCAGAUAUCAGGAGGAACACCGGUGGCGAAGGCGGGUCUCUGGGCCGUAACUGACGCUGAGGAGCGAAAGCGUGGGGAGCGAACAGG